rnacentral:rRNA from 1 species
UGGGGAAUUUUGGACAAUGGGCGCAAGCCUGAUCCAGCAAUGCCGCGUGCAGGAUGAAGGCCUUCGGGUUGUAAACUGCUUUUGUACGGAACGAAAAAGCUCUCUCUAAUACAGGGGGUGAAUGACGGUACCGUAAGAAUAAGCACCGGCUAACUACGUGCCAGCAGCCGCGGUAAUACGUAGGGUGCAAGCGUUAAUCGGAAUUACUGGGCGUAAAGCGUGCGCAGGCGGGUUUGUAAGACAGAGGUGAAAUCCCCGGGCUCAACCUGGGAACUGCCUUUGUGACUGCAAGGCUGGAGUGCGGCAGAGGGGGAUGGAAUUCCGCGUGUAGCAGUGAAAUGCGUAUAUAUGCGGAGGAACACCGAUGGCGAAGGCAAUCCCCUGGGCCUGCACUGACGCUCAUGCACGAAAGCGUGGGGAGCAAACA